ensembl:lncRNA
GUUUUUGAGAAAAGUGAUAGUAAACUUUACCCAAAUUACUCUACUGUACUCUAUAUAUUCCCAUCUUUCACCUCAGAUUACAGGAAAACUGUAAGAGGUGACACAGAUAUUUCACUGGAUUCUGACUGUGGGUGACCCCCACUCUUCACCCUGUCAUCCAGAGCCAAAUUUACUGUACGGUUUUUGAGAAAAGUGAUAGUAAACUUUACCCAAAUUACUCUACUGUACUCUAUAUAUUCCCAUCUUUCACCUCAGAUUACAGGAAAACUGUAAGAGGUGACGCAGAUAUUUCACUGGAUUCUGACUGUGGGUGACCCCCACUUUUCACCCUGUGAUCCACAGACAAAUUUACUGUACAGUUUUCCUGAAAAGUGAUAGUAAACUUUACCCAAAUUACUCUACUGUACUCUAUAUAUUCCCAUCUUUCACCUCAGAUUACAGGAAAACUGUAAGAGGUGACGCAGAUAUUUCACUGGAUUCUGACUCUAGGCCAUCUCCACUCUUCACCCUGUGAUCCACAGCCGAAUUUACUGUACGGUUUUCCUGAAAAUUGAUAGUAAACUUUGCACUAUUUACUCUACUGUACUAUAUAUAUUCCCAUCUUUGACCUCAGAUUACAGGAAAACUGUAAGAGGUGACGCAGAUAUUUCACUGGAUUCUGACUCUGGGUGACCCCCACUCUUCACCCUGUCAUCCACAGACAAAUUUACUGUACGGUUUUUGAGAAAAGUGAUAGUAAACUUUACCCAAAUUACUCUACUGUACUCUAUAUAUUCCCAUCUUUCACCUCAGAUUACAGGAAAACUGUAAGAGGUGACGCAGAUAUUUCACUGGAUUCUGACUCUGGGUGACCCCCACUCUUCACCCUGUCAUCCACAGACAAAUUUACUGUACGGUUUUCCAGAAAAGUGAUAGUAAACUUUGCACAUUUUACUCUACUGUACUCUAUAUAUUCCCAUCUUUGACCUCAGAUUACAGGAAAACUGUAAGAGGUGACGCAGAUAUUUCACUGGAUUCUGACUCUAGGCCAUCUCCACUCUUCACCCUGUCAUCCACAGACAAGUUUACUGUACGGUUUUUGAGACUGCUGUGUUAACAGAGUAUGACAAAGGCUAAGAAAAUGUACUGCCUAAAAUAAUAUCAAAUUUAAACAACUAAUUACAAAAUUGCUACACCUGCUGUUAUUGCCAGGUGUUCGAUAGAGCAUUAUUUAGUCAUAAAAAAUACAUAUCAUUGACAUAUCAUCAGUAAAAGAAAUACUCUCACUAUGCAAGACAUGUUUGGAAAUUCAGUUAAUAAAUAUUGUAUGAAAUCUAUACAGAUGUUUGAAGGUAUAAUGCAAAGCAUGUUUGUUUCUUAUGGCUUACAAAUGUGUUUUCCUUUAACAAAAUUUACAUUUCAUUUAUACAGUUUCGCAGACGAAACAAUAAAAUAGGUUUCCUGAACUGUUCUUCAUGGCCCAAAUUUUGAAUCCUUUUGAGGGUGAUGCAUUAUCCAUGAAGGUGGGCAAUUUGUUCAUUGAUCUCUGACCCUCACUGACUCUGACGCCUCCUAAUUCUGCUUCCAGCCUUGCUGAUUAAUUUGUUCUUCCUUUUGGCAUCCCUGUCACUGAUGCUGUCACCAGUUGUACACAACAUCUCUGCUUGUCCACCAGUCUAAUCUGUAAUUCAGAUAAAGGAUGUUGAACAUUAAGCUCCAAACAGGAUGAAUGAGGAAGACCACAGAGGAGAAUCGUGGAUGUAGUGAAAGAAUACAUGCAGAUGGUUUUUUUUAUGGUGGAGGAGCAACUUCUGAUACCAUCUUAAAGAAAAAACACAUAAAAUUGAAGAGUAAAAAUAAUGACAACAAUAUGUCUAAAUUUUGUAUUAAUUUUUCAGAGCAAAUGCAGUCUUGUCAUGGUCAGAGUUGCCCACUCAUAUUUGACUAAUUCAAAUAAAAUUACUGAAUUUAAAUGCUUAUGUUCUAAUAAAAGGCAUUGUUUAAUACUUCUGCCAUGACAACCCAAAUAAAUCAAUGAGAGGGAAACGGGAAGAUUAGUCAUCAGGCAAGGUUUACUGUUCAUUUACCAUGCCUUGAUAAAAGUAAGCUUAACAAAAGAAAAAGGCUGUGGACGAGAACCGGGCGGCUGAGCCAGAUCAAAGACAUUACUAAAACAAAAAGAUGC